CAGCCGCCGCGGGAAUACGAAGGGUGCAAGCGUUAAUCGGAAUUACUGGGCGUAAAGCGCGCGUAGGUGGUUUGGUAAGAUGGAUGUGAAAUCCCCGGGCUCAACCUGGGAACUGCAUCCAUAACUGCCUGACUAGAGUACGGUAGAGGGUGGUGGAAUUUCCUGUGUAGCGGUGAAAUGCGUAGAUAUAGGAAGGAACACCAGUGGCGAAGGCGACCACCUGGACUGAUACUGACACUGAGGUGCGAAAGCGUGGGGAGCAAACAGGAUUAGAUACCCGGGUAGUCCCUGUCUCUUAUAC
rnacentral:rRNA from 1 species